CAGCCGCCGCGGGAAUACGAAGGGGGCUAGCGUUGCUCGGAAUCACUGGGCGUAAAGGGUGCGUAGGCGGGUUUUUAAGUCAGAGGUGAAAUCCUGGAGCUCAACUCCAGAACUGCCUUUGAUACUGAAAGUCUUGAGUAUGGGAGAGGUGAGUGGAACUGCGAGUGUAGAGGUGAAAUUCGUAGAUAUUCGCAAGAACACCAGUGGCGAAGGCGGCUCGCUGGCCCAUAACUGACGCUGAGGCACGAAAGCGUGGGGAGCAAACAGGAUUAGAUACCCGCGUAGUCCCUGUCUCUUAUAC
rnacentral:rRNA from 1 species